GAAACUCAUCACUAGAAAUGCACGAAAGCAUCAAAAGACUGCUCACCUGGCUGGCUACUUGACGUGUGAAUGAUUGAAGUUGUUGGUGUUUUAAUGAAAUAACCCUGUUUUUUCUUUGAGAGGAAAGAAUGGAAUUUCAGCAGGUGGUGUGCUUCCAGGCCCAGGUGCAGUAAGGGUUCUCUCCAGGAGAGCAGAACCAUGUGAGAACCGCAACUCCAUACAGAACAAGACAGCACCGUGGGGAGACUUACAGUUGUGACGUGGGAGGAGGAGGAAAGCAUUGAGGGCAGGUGAAGAAGUCGCGUGUGAGAAGCAGAGGCAGAAGCAAAGCAGAGAGCUGAAAGUCCAGGAGAGAUGGCGCAGAUCAGACAGGGGCGGGCAAUGUAAACACCACAAGAGCAGGAGUCCCAGGUUUGAUUACUGCUACCACUGACCGCAGAGUCUCCUAGCGCCCGAGGCAGGACAAACCAGUGCAGCUGAACUCACCUGCAUCAGCCUGGCCUCCCUCUUCUCAGCUGGAGCACGGCUAUCAGCUGUGUGGCACCUUUGUAUGGCUGGCCCAAAGAAGGAGGAGUCUUGGGAAUAUUGGUUCUCCAGAAUGUAAUGAAGAAAAUUGCAUUACUGUGGUUUUGCAUAUUGAAAAUAUGA